UUUUUCAGUGUGUUUCGAAAGACCCUCAAAGAGGGGAGACCCUCACUCAAGUCUCAGGAUGACACGACCUCCCAAGAACUCACGUGAAACC
rnacentral:pre_miRNA from 14 species